rfam:Auricularia subglabra TFB-10046 SS5 ATRDEscaffold_24_Cont818, whole genome shotgun sequence.
UUCUCUGUGGUCCAACGGCUAAGACACGCGCCUGUCACGCGCGCAACCCGGGUUCGACUCCCGGCAGGGAAG